rnacentral:rRNA from 1 species
CCUACGGGUGGCUGCAGUGGGGAAUAUUGGACAAUGGGCGAAAGCCUGAUCCAGCCAUGCCGCGUGUGUGAAGAAGGCCUUCGGGUUGUAAAGCACUUUCAGUGGGGAAGAAAGCCUUGGGGCUAAUACCCUCGAGGAAGGACAUCACCCACAGAAGAAGCACCGGCUAACUCCGUGCCAGCAGCCGCGGUAAUACGGAGGGUGCGAGCGUUAAUCGGAAUUACUGGGCGUAAAGCGCGCGUAGGCGGUCUGAUAAGCCGGUUGUGAAAGCCCCGGCCUCAACCUGGGAACGGCAUCCGGAACUGUCAGGCUAGAGUGCAGGAGAGGAAGGUAGAAGUCCCGGUGUAGCGGUGAAAUGCGUAGAGAUCGGGAGGAAUACCAGUGGCGAAGGCGGCCUUCUGGACUGACACUGACGCUGAGGUGCGAAAGCGUGGGUAGCAAACAGGAUUAGAUACCCGGGUAGUC